rnacentral:rRNA from 1 species
AUUGAACGCUGGCGGCAGGCCUAACACAUGCAAGUCGAGCGGAUGAAGGGAGCUUGCUCCUGGAUUCAGCGGCAGACGGGUGAGUAAUGCCUAGGAAUCUGCCUGGUAGUGGGGGAUAACGUCCGGAAACGGGCGCUAAUACCGCAUACGUCCUGAGGGAGAAAGUGGGGGAUCUUCGGACCUCACGCUAUCAGAUGAGCCUAGGUCGGAUUAGCUAGUUGGUGGGGUAAAGGCCUACCAAGGCGACGAUCCGUAACUGGUCUGAGAGGAUGAUCAGUCACACUGGAACUGAGACACGGUCCAGACUCCUACGGGAGGCAGCAGUGGGGAAUAUUGGACAAUGGGCGAAAGCCUGAUCCAGCCAUGCCGCGUGUGUGAAGAAGGUCUUCGGAUUGUAAAGCACUUUAAGUUGGGAGGAAGGGCAGUAAGUUAAUACCUUGCUGUUCUGACGUUACCAACAGAAUAAGCACCGGCUAACUUCGUG